AAAUAAUUAAAAUAAAAAUUAGUUUCGACCUAAUUUCAGAAUAUAAAUAUUCAUUAUUUA
rnacentral:tRNA from 1 species